GUCGAGAAUCUUGGGCAAUGCGCGAAAGCGUGACCCAGCAAUGCCGCGUGUAUGAUGAAGGCCCUCGGGUCGUAAAGUACUGUCUCCCGUGACGAAAUUUGACGGUAGCGGGGAAGGAAGCCACGGCUAACUACGUGCCAGCAGCCGCGGUAAUACGUAGGUGGCGAGCGUUGUUCGGAUUUAUUGGGCGUAAAGGGUCUGUAGGAGGUUUGUUAAAUACGGGGUGAAAUCCCGAAGCUCAACUUCGGAAUUGCCUUGUAGACUGACGAACUGGAGUACCGGAGAGGUAAGCGGAAUACCAGGUGUAGCGGUGGAAUGCGUAGAUAUCUGGUAGAACACCAAAAGCGAAGGCAGCUUGCUGGACGGAAACUGACUCUGAAAGACGAAAGCAUGGGGAGCAAACAGGAUUAGAUACCCUUGUAGUCC
rnacentral:rRNA from 1 species